UGGGGGAUAUUGCACAAUGGGCGAAAGCCUGAUGCAGCGACGCCGCGUGGGGGAUGAAGGCUUUCGGGUUGUAAACCUCUUUCGCUAUCGAACAAGGCCCGCUUAGGGUGGGUUGAGGGUAGGUGGAGAAGAAGCGCCGGCUAACUACGUGCCAGCAGCCGCGGUAAUACGUAGGGCGCGAGCGUUGUCCGGAAUUAUUGGGCGUAAAGGGCUUGUAGGCGGCUUGUUGCGCCUGCUGUGAAAACGCGGGGCUUAACUUCGCGCGUGCAGUGGGUACGGGCAGGCUUGAGUGUGGUAGGGGUGAAUGGAAUUCCAGGUGUAGCGGUGGAAUGCGGAGAUAUCUGGAGGAACACCGAUGGCGAAGGAAGGUCACUGGGGCAUUACUGACGCUGAGGAGCGAAAGCAUGGGGAGCGAACAGG
rnacentral:rRNA from 1 species